GAUGAAGAACGUAGCGAAAUGCGAUAAGUAAUGUGAAUUGCAGAAUUCAGUGAAUCAUCGAAUCUUUGAACGCACAUUGCGCCCGCCAGUAUUCUGGCGGGCAUGCCUGUUCGAGCGUCAUUUCAACCAUCAAGCCCCCGGGCUUGUGUUGGGGACCUGCGGCUGCCGCAGGCCCUGAAAAGCAGUGGCGGGCUCGCCGUCACACCGAGCGUAGUAGAUUUUAUCUCGCUCAGGGCGUGCUGCGGGUUCCGGCCGUUAAACCACCUUCAUAACCCAAGGUUGACCUCGGAUCAGGUAGGAAGACCCGCUGAACUUAAGCAUAUCAAUAAGCGGAGGA
rnacentral:misc_RNA from 1 species